rnacentral:lncRNA from 1 species
AUCAUGAAAUGCAGAUCCUUUUAUUGAUGAUUUCUUCGGUGGACACAAUUAUUAGAUCUUAAAAAUCUGGUCAUUUCAAUUGAGAAAAUAGAGGCAACUACUCUUUGUAAAUAAAGAGGCACCCAGGCCUGACUUGGAGGACCCAAUGAUACAAGAAACUUUGAAGAGCAGUCUCUCAACAGGGCAUCAUGACAGCAGCAAACUGAACCCUGCUUUUUUCAGCCUAUAGCUAUACUGCCUUUCAUGAUGCCCAUGGUAUUUCUGUAGAUGAUGCCAGCAAAAGGGAGAAAGUCCACGGUUUUACCCCAGGUUUCUUAUAAACUUACAUAUAAUUAUAGCACACAGCAUUAUCAGCAGAAAUGCAAACUGUAAUCAUUGCCAAAGAGUAUAUUACUAGGGGAAGGAGUAAUUGCUUCUUCAAUCUUCUUUGGAAUAAUCCCUCAUUUGGGCCCAAAUGAAGUAUGCCCAGGAUAAUCUUUAGAUGAAAAAAAACCUGACCUAUCAUCUUUCUCAACCAAGUCAAUGGAAUGAAUGUUUUUGCAUUCCAAAGUUUUGGGCCCAUUCAAGGGAUCAAGGUAAUGAGCAAGAAAGGCAAUGUCAUGGACCAUCUCAGAAGAGCUGGGAAAAAGGCUUUUAAAGAAACAGCAAUAUCCAGGGAAGCGCUGUUUGGGACAUUAGCUUUUAUUCCGAUGUCUUCAACUAUUUUUUAAAAAGACACAGUACAGUAAGCUUGAAGAGGAAAUCCCAUCUGCAAUAGAAAAAAUGGAAUGCUUCUAUGACACAGGUG